rnacentral:rRNA from 1 species
CACGUAGGGCGCAAGCGUUGUCCGGAAUUAUUGGGCGUAAAGAGCUCGUAGGUGGUUUGUUACGUCCGCUGUGAAAUCCUAGGGCUUAACCCUGGGCUUGCAGUGGAUACGGGCAGACUAGAGUGCUGUAGGGGAGACUGGAAUUCCUGGUGUAGCGGUGAAAAUGCGCAGAUAUCAGGAGGAACACCGGUGGCGAAGGCGGGUCUCUGGGCAACAACUGACGCUGAGGAGCGAAAGCGUGGGGAGCGAACAGG